rnacentral:lncRNA from 10 species
UUUCCCAGGAAUGCUGUCGGAACUGGACCUUGAUGAAGGAAAUACUUUCUGACUCAUUGGAAUUUGUUAUAGUCAAAAUGUGCUCUUCUGAAAUCUACAGGUGUUUCCAGACCUAAGAAUAACAGGAACAUGGAGGAGUGGCAUCUCCAGUGUAGCCACCCACCAAAGCCUCAUCCUGAACACUAUGGCCUAGUGGGUCACUUACAGGGAUGUAGCUGGCAUUGAUGUAGUCAGAGCAAGGAUCAUCAUCUACAUUGGAGAGCUUCACUCGCGUGGCAUCAUCUGGAAGGAGAGAUUUGCUGCUGAGUCUUGGAGUGACUUUUCUACAGUUUAUGUGAUGUGUGUGAUGUGCCUUAGCUCUGAUCCCCACAACAGCCACAGAUGGGAAGUGAUCUUAUCUCCAUUUUGCAGAUGAGGCUCAGGCAGGAUAACUAACUUGCCCCAUGUUGCAUAGGUGGCCUAUAACCAGUCAGACACAGGAGACAACAUGAAGCCCCAUCUGUGCUUCCCUUUCUGACAUUACCACAUUUGCCUGAUGGAGUGGCCAGCU